rnacentral:rRNA from 1 species
CUGCUUCUACUUUCUGUAUGGAGCUGGGAGCGUCUGCCUGUUAGACGCCCGAAGAGCAUCAGGUUUGAUCCUUGGUAUGCAGAUGAACAUGAUGAAUUACGGCGCCCCAUGUGGGCUUACAAGUGGGAUAUCGUUUCCGAGAUGAUGAACGAUGUCAAUCUCAUGUACCAAACGUACAUUGCCGAGUUGGACACGAUUACGCCUGAGCAGGUAAGGAGGUCAUUACUUUAG